rnacentral:lncRNA from 1 species
GAGUUCCAGAAUUGUGCUUAAGGAUUGUUCUUCAUUCCUCUGAUCAGAGCCACUUAGGGAAUUCUUAAAGAAUCUUCAACCUGAGGGAGAAAUCAACUUUCCCCAUUUUUAUGGCAAAGUCUACGAUCUCCUGAUGGAGGAAAAUGAAGACGAAACAUUAAUGUUGAAAGCAGCAUCAGCCGCUGAGAUCUGCUGUUUCAUGAAGCAACAGGAUUUGAAAAUCUGCACAUCUGGGAGCUGUAAGGAGUUCUUGUAUCUGCUAUAGCCAAGUC